GAUGAACGCUGGCGGCGUGCUUAACACAUGCAAGUCGAGCGAUGAAGUUUCCUUCGGGAAACGGAUUAGCGGCGGACGGGUGAGUAACACGUGGGUAACCUGCCUCAUAGAGUGGAAUAGCCUUCCGAAAGGAAGAUUAAUACCGCAUAAUGUUGAAAGAUGGCAUCAUCAUUUAACCAAAGGAGCAAUCCGCUAUGAGAUGGACCCGCGGCGCAUUAGCUAGUUGGUGGGGUAACGGCCUACCAAGGCGACGAUGCGUAGCCGACCUGAGAGGGUGAUCGGCCACAUUGGGACUGAGACACGGCCCAGACUCCUACGGGAGGCAGCAGUGGGGAAUAUUGCACAAUGGGGGAAACCCUGAUGCAGCAACGCCGCGUGAGUGAUGAAGGUUUUCGGAUCGUAAAGCUCUGUCUUUGGGGAAGAUAAUGACGGUACCCAAGGAGGAAGCCACGGCUAACUACGUGCCAGCAGCCGCGGUAAUACGUAGGUGGCGAGCGUUAUCCGGAUUUACUGGGCGUAAAGGGAGCGUAGGCGGAUGAUUAAGUGGGAUGUGAAAUACCCGGGCUCAACUUGGGUGCUGCAUUCCAAACUGGUUAUCUAGAGUGCAGGAGAGGAGAGUGGAAUUCCUAGUGUAGCGGUGAAAUGCGUAGAGAUUAGGAAGAACACCAGUGGCGAAGGCGACUCUCUGGACUGUAACUGACGCUGAGGCUCGAAAGCGUGGGGAGCAAACAGG
rnacentral:rRNA from 1 species